UACUUUUAGAUAUCCUGCCUUCUGUUUUUAGUGAAGGAUUUGGAAUCCUGGAAGUGUUCAAGGCUGGGGUUUAGAGCACCCUGGUCUGGUGGAAAGUGUUAAGGGCUUAGAACAGGAUGGUCUUAAGGUCCCUUCCAAACCAUUCUACAAUUCAACAAGAGCAUUCUAUGAUUCUGCAAGAGAAUUCUAUGAUUCUACAAGAGGAUCUAUGAUUCUGCAAGAGGAUUCUGUAACUCACACCAGAAGCAUGUGGAAUGAUCCCAUGAUCUUGGCACUGCUUCCCCACUGAAGCAAGAAGGGCAGAAGUCUGAUAGACAGAGCUAUGCAAACAUAUUAUUGUACAGAAUCAUAAUGCAGAAUCUCAGCACCAAUGGUUUGGGGUAGAAGAGACCUUAAAGACCAUCCAGUUCCAUCCCCUGCCAUGGGUAGGGACACCUUUCACCAGACCAGCUUGUUAAGGUCCCAUCUAAUAUGCCCUUGAACACUUCAAGAAUAAUUUAAUCAGUUUUAGCAAGUUAACAGGACUAACUUAAUGCUACAAUUACCCCCUUGGUGGCAGAAAAAGGCACAAGACAGCAACAACAUGAGUUUUGGCACAGCUUGUGCAAAACUACAGCUUUCAUUUACAAAUCCAGGAGAUGGAACACAUUUCUAUCCAUUGGUACCACUGUCAGCAUUCCAAGGGUCAUGUGGAUUUCUGAGCACCAUAAAUGGCACUGGAAAGGUUAAAUCUUAUACAGCUACAAAUUAAAUGAGACAGAUGUGAUCAGAGGGGGCUGUGAGGACACGUGCUCACCUAGCUGUGACUCCUCAGUUUGGUUCAGGAUUUAAACCCAGGAAUUUGGGUUGUGUGGGUUCAGGGAGUGAAGGUUUAUCACUGCUUAGGGUGUGAGCUGUGAUGAAAGGCACUGGGAAAGUAGGAGCAGGGUCUGAUCAACAGCAGCAAGGGAGUAUUAGGCAAAAUGUCUCUGUUGAGGCACAAAUAGUUGCUCUGCCUGUGGCAGGAUUUGUCCCAGGAUACCACUGCAGUAUGGAGGGAAAAAUGGGCUGGCUUUGAUGAUUUUGCUGUAGUAAUGAUACUGGCUCUGUUUGGUCCCAUUACAGCUCUUUGGAGGGGAUUACCAGAGGGAGGGUGUUCCUUCCUCUAUCCAAACAGAAACAGCUUCACUUUCAUCUUAGAGCACUCAGCUUUCUAAAGGCAUUAGAGAAGUUUCCUAGCCAAAAUCUCCUAAAGAAGCUGUGGUGCAAUGGGACAAGAGAGAAGAUCCUCUAGUGGAUUGCUAAAAGAUAGGAAACAAAUAUAGGGGGAAAAAAUUAUGAGUUGUGCACAAGGGAGAAGAUUAUUUCAUCCCACAUGGAUCUCUCUUGUUCAACAUAUUCCUAAAUCAUCUGGAAAAUGGUGUGAGUAAUGAGGUGAAAAUAUCAAAAUUCAAAACUUUAAAAAUGCAAUAAAGACCUUCAGCUGAACUGAAUAAUCCCUCAAUGGAUUUUUCAUUCACAAACCGUUUUAUAUUUAAACUGUUCACUCCAGUAUUUGAAGUCUAUUUUUAACAUGGGAGAAUAUUUCUUCUCCAGAUCCAUUUCUUCACACUUACUAGGUUUGCUGAAGAAAUAGUAAAAUUUUGAUGGCGAUUACAAAAGCCACUUGCCAAUCUUCUCCACCUUCCUGAAUAACUACAUUUGUGUCUUACCUCUUAUUCACAUUUUUUCCCUUUCACUGACUGUCUCCAAGAUUGUUAAGAGCUCAUACUGCAAAAUCUUGAUCCUUGUUGUUUGUACAAGUAGAUCAAUGAGAGAAAUUUUCCUGGAGUGACUUUAUAACAGUUGUCAUCACCUUGUCUGGGUCAAACAAGCAGAUUUUCAAAAGGUGAACACAGUGAAAGAACUGAAUGAGAAUUGUUAAAAUUUGUCUUGCCUGUAGUGCUUUAUACACAUUUGUUG